CAGUUGGUCGUUAGGUGCAUCUAGUGUCUGCAGCACACAGUGUGACAGUAAGCACACCAUCCCAAACAUGAGCUUCUUGAGACUCUAUAACAAGCAAACAAUGAGAAAAGAGUAUGUAGUCCAAAGAGGCAGGCAUCAUACUGUAUGACUUGACAGACAGGGCUGCAAGCAGAAGGGCUACCAAGGAGACUGCAAGGCUGAGUCUCCUCUGCAUUCUAAUUUUAGCAUGCUGGGGUUCUGAAAGAUCACUAUUAUUUCAGAUUCCUGACAGAUUAAUAAUAGCCUGUACAGCUACCAGUUAGUGCUGAAACAAUGGGGAGAAAGCAUAUCCGACUCCUUACCUAACCCGUUUUUUUCUUUAUUUGCUUUUCAUGUC